rnacentral:lncRNA from 1 species
GAUCAAUCACAAACUGCAAGGUUGUCCUGCUGUAAGGUUUACCCCUUACAGUGCAAAGGUUGUCCUAGUUUGUAUAGAUCUAUCUUUAAUCAUAAAUUUAUUAGAUAUGAUCUAAAUUAAAUUUAUGAUUUAUUAGAUUUAAAAGAUAUUUAAAUCUGAAAUAAAAUCUCUUUGUUAAUAAUUUUUGUGCAAAGAAAUUGUUUAAAGUUGAAACUGUUUCAAUUACAUGAACCUGUUUAGAUUAGAUCUAAAGUAGUUUCAUGUUUAAUUCACUUGUAUCUUGAUUAUGAAUCAAACAUGCAAUAUGGUUGGUAGAAUCAUAUUGUAAAAUUAUUUUACAAAUAUGAAAAUUAUUUUUUGAAAAGCCGAACCCAACCCUCAGCCC